rnacentral:tRNA from 1 species
GCCAGAGAGAUGGCUCAGUGGUUAAGAGCACUGGUUGCACUUCCAAAGGUCCUGAGUUCAAUCCCUAGCACUGACA